rnacentral:rRNA from 1 species
GAUGAACGCUGGCGGCGUGCUUAACACAUGCAAGUCGAACGGAAAGGCUCCUGCUUGCAGGGGUACUCGAGUGGCGAACGGGUGAGUAACACGUGGGUGAUCUGCCCUGUACUUCGGGAUAAGCUUGGGAAACUGGGUCUAAUACCGGAUAGGACAACUUUUUGGAUAUUGUUGUGGAAAGCUUUUGCGGUAUGGGAUGAGCUCGCGGCCUAUCAGCUUGUUGGUGGGGUAAUGGCCUACCAAGGCGUCGACGGGUAGCCGGCCUGAGAGGGUGUACGGCCACAUUGGGACUGAGAUACGGCCCAGACUCCUACGGGAGGCAGCAGUGGGGAAUAUUGCACAAUGGGCGCAAGCCUGAUGCAGCGACGCCGCGUGGGGGAUGAAGGCCUUCGGGUUGUAAACUCCUGUCGCUAGGGACGAAGCUUUUUUGUGACGGUACCUGGAGAAGAAGCACCGGCUAACUACGUG